GCAGGGUAUGGUGGUGCAUGCCUAUAAUCCCAGUUGCUCAGGAGGCUGAGGCAGGCAGAUUGCUAGUUCAAGUUCAGGCUCAACCACUUAGUGAGACCUGUCUCAA
rnacentral:sRNA from 1 species